rnacentral:other from 1 species
GUGACCCUGCCUGAAUCGCGAACUGGCCUACAUUUCUGACCUACGUGUUUUCUAGGGAGCCAAAACGCGGUGUGAAACGAAGACCCGUCUCGCACGGGAAUUGCGCAACACCGCCGGGGCGCCCACUUUGAGAAAAGGGUCCAGAACUUUUCGCCCAUACGACCAGGCGGGGUUUUU